AGAGUUUGAUCCUGGCUCAGGAUGAACGCUAGCGACAGGCUUAACACAUGCAAGUCGAGGGGCAGCGGGGGUGAAGGCUUGCCUUCACCUGCCGGCGACCGGCGCACGGGUGAGUAACACGUAUGCAACCUGCCCGUGACAGUGGGAUAAUCCGGAGAAAUCCGGUCUAAUACCGCAUGAUCCCCUGUGGAGACAUCUCCACGGGGGCAAAGGAAGUAAUUCCGGUCACGGAUGGGCAUGCGUCGCAUUAGCUGGUUGGCGGGGUAACGGCCCACCAAGGCGACGAUGCGUAGGGGUUCUGAGAGGAAGGUCCCCCACACUGGUACUGAGACACGGACCAGACUCCUACGGGAGGCAGCAGUGAGGAAUAUUGGUCAAUGGGCGCGAGCCUGAACCAGCCAAGUCGCGUGAGGGAAGACGGUCCUAUGGAUUGUAAACCUCUUUUGCCGGGGAGCAAAAGGAGCCACGUGUGGCUCAUCGAGAGUACCCGGAGAAAAAGCAUCGGCUAACUCCGUGCCAGCAGCCGCGGUAAUACGGAGGAUGCGAGCGUUAUCCGGAUUUAUUGGGUUUAAAGGGUGCGUAGGCGGGACCUUAAGUCAGCGGUUAAAUCGCGGGGCUCAACCUCGCUCUGCCGUUGAAACUGGGGUCCUUGAGUGGGCGAGAAGUACGCGGAAUGCGUGGUGUAGCGGUGAAAUGCAUAGAUAUCACGCAGAACUCCGAUUGCGAAGGCAGCGUACCGGCGCCCUACUGACGCUGAAGCACGAAAGCGUGGGUAUCGAACAGGAUUAGAUACCCUGGUAGUCCACGCAGUAAACGAUGAAUGAUAAUUGUGUGCCCCCGGCAUGGAGGGGGGCGUGAUAAAGCGAAAGCGUUAAGCAUUCCACCUGGGGAGGUACGCCGGCAACGGUGAAAACUCAAAGGAAUUGACGGGGGCCCGCAUAAGCGGAGGAACAUGUGGUUUAAUUCGAUGAUACGCGAGGAACCUUACCCGGGCUCAAACGCAGGAGGGAUGUUUUUGAAAGGAGGCAGCUCUUCGGAGCCUCCUGCGAGGUGCUGCAUGGUUGUCGUCAGCUCGUGCCGUGAGGUGUCGGCUUAAGUGCCAUAACGAGCGCAACCCCCACCGACAGUUGCCAUCAGGUCAGGCUGGGCACUCUGUCGGGACUGCCGGCGCAAGCUGUGAGGAAGGCGGGGAUGACGUCAAAUCAGCACGGCCCUUACGUCCGGGGCGACACACGUGUUACAAUGGCAGGCACAGCGGGAAGCCACCUGGCGACAGGGAGCGGAACCCGAAAUCCUGUCUCAGUUCGGAUUGGAGUCUGCAACCCGACUCCAUGAAGCUGGAUUCGCUAGUAAUCGCGCAUCAGCCACGGCGCGGUGAAUACGUUCCCGGGCCUUGCACUCACCGCCCGUCA
rnacentral:rRNA from 1 species